GGGAUCAAAAUCUUUCUUUUUCUUUCCCUUUAAAGUGAAAGACAAAAUCUCGAAACUCUCGUUUUCACACAGCGUUCUUACAAAUUCGUUACUCUCAUUCUUUCUCAAAUCUCUGCAUUUUCACUUUUCCAUUUUUCAGAUCACUGUGCCAUUACACGGUAAUUUCAUCUCUCUCUUUUCGUCUUCGUUGUUCAUCUUUUCGUUGUUUAUGAUUUUUUAUUCGAUUUUUCUCGGUAGCUAUUUUAAUUGUGAAUUUGUUUCGUGUUGUUUGAAUUCAGCAUUGCGUGUUCCGUUGAAUCGAAACUGUGUUGGAAGAUUCUUGAAUUUUCACUCACAUUAUGAAUCUUACAGUAAGGUGUAUUAG